CCUACGGGUGGCUGCAGUGAGGAAUAUUGGUCAAUGGACGCAAGGCUGAACCAGCCAAGUCGCGUGAAGGAAUAAGGAUCUAUGAUUUGUAAACUUCUUUUAUAGGGGAAUAAAGGUAUCCACGUGUGGAUAUUUGCAAGUACCCUAUGAAUAAGCAUCGGCUAACUCCGUGCCAGCAGCCGCGGUAAUACGGAGGAUGCGAGCGUUAUCCGGAUUUAUUGGGUGUAAAGGGAGCGUAGGCGGGUUGAUAAGUCAGGUGUGAAAGUUUGGGGCUCAACCGGAAAAUUGCAUUUGAUACUGGCAGACUAGAGUAAAGUAGCGGGAGGCGGAAUUCGUGGUGUAGCGGUGAAAUGCUUAGAUAUCAUGCAGAACACCGAUUGCGAAGGCAGCUUGCUGGACUGCAACUGACGCUGAGGCACGAAAGUGUGGGGAGCAAACAGGAUUAGAUACCCGUGUAGUC
rnacentral:rRNA from 1 species